AACGAACGCUGGCGGCGUGGAUAAGACAUGCAAGUCGAACGAGAAACAUGAAUAGCUUGCUAAUUGUGUUUCUAGUGGCUCACGGGUUAGUAACACGUGAGUAACAUGCCUUGAAGUGGGGGAUAGCCUUUCGAAAGGAAGAUUAAUACCGCAUGUGGUCACCCUUAAAAGGGCGGACCAAAGAUGCCUUCGGGUGUCGCUUUAGAGAUUGGCUGCUUGUUGGUGAGGUAAUGGCUCACCAAGGCUACGACGGGUAACUGGUCUGAGAGGAUGAUCAGUCACACUGGAACUGAGACACGGUCCAGACACCUACGGGUGGCAGCAGUCGAGAAUCAUUCACAAUGGGGGAAACCCUGAUGGUGCGACGCCGCGUGGAGGAUGACGGCCCUAGGGUUGUAAACUCCUGUCAUCAGAGAGUAAGGUUUUGCGGUUAAUAACCGUGGGGCUUGAUAGUAUCUGAAGAGGAAGGGACGGCUAACUUCGUGCCAGCAGCCGCGGUAAUACGAAGGUCCCAAGCGUUGUUCGGAAUUACUGGGCGUAAAGAGUGCGUAGGCGGCUAGGUAAGUCAGAUGUGAAAUCCCGGGGCUCAACCCCGGAACUGCAUACGAUACUGCCUGGCUAGAGUAGUGGAGGGGCAUCUGGAAUUCUCGGUGUAGCAGUGAAAUGCGUAGAUAUCGAGAGGAACACUAGUGGCGAAGGCGAGAUGCUGGACACUUACUGACGCUGAGGCACGAAGGCCAGGGUAGCGAAAGGGAUUAGAUACCCCUGUAGUCCUGGCAGUAAACGGUGCACGCUUGGUGUGGGAGGAUUCGACCCCUUCCGUGCCGGAGCUAACGCGUUAAGCGUGCCGCCUGGGGAGUACGGCCGCAAGGCUAAAACUCAAAGAAAUUGACGGGGACCCGCACAAGCGGUGGAGUAUGUGGCUUAAUUCGAUGCAACGCGAAGAACCUUACCUGGGCUUGACAUGCAUCCCUAAACCGGUGAAAGCGUGUGACUCUUCGGAGACUUUACACAGGUGCUGCAUGGCCGUCGUAAGCUCGUGUCGUGAGAUGUUCGGUUAAGUCCGGCAACGAGCGCAACCCCUGUGACUAGUUACUAACAUUAAGUUGAGGACUCUAGUCAGACUGCCCAGGUCAACUGGGAGGAAGGUGGGGAUGACGUCAGGUCAGUAUGGCCCUUACGCCUUGGGCUGCACACGUACUACAAUGCUCAGUACAAUGAGAACCGAGACCGCGAGGUGGAGGAAAUCUGCAAAACUGGGCCCAGUUCGGAUUGGAGGCUGCAACUCGCCUCCAUGAAGUUGGAAUCGCUAGUAAUGGCACAUCAGCUACGGUGCCGUGAAUACGUUCCCGGGUCUUGUACACACCGCCCGUCACAUCAUGGAAGCCGAUCGCACCCGAAGUAUCUACGCUAACUUUAUUAGGGUCCUAAGGUGUAGUUGGUAACUGGGAUG
rnacentral:rRNA from 1 species